rnacentral:rRNA from 1 species
AUCGAACGCUGGCGGCCGGCCUAACACAUGCAAGUCGAACGAGUGGCGGACGGGUGUGGAAUGCCUGGGAAACUGCAUGAUGGAGGGGGAUAACUACAGGAAACGGUAGCUAAUACCUCAUACCAUCGGAUGUGUCCAGAUGGGAUUAGCUAGUAGGCGGGGUAACGGCUCACCUAGGCGACGCUCCCUAGCUGGUCUGAGAGGAUGACCGGCCACACUGGAACUGAGACACGGUCCAGACUCCUACGGUAGGCAGCAGUGGGGAAUAUUGCACAAUGGGCGCAAGCCUGAUGCAGCCAUGCCGCGUGUAUGAAGAAGGCCUUCGGUUUGCAAAGUACUUUCAGCGAGGAGGCGUUACUCGCAGAAGAAGCACCGGCUAACUCCGUGCCAGCAGCCGCGGUAAUUC